AUUGAACGCUGGCGGCAGGCUUAACACAUGCAAGUCGAGCGGGGGAAGGUAGCUUGCUACCGGACCUAGCGGCGGACGGGUGAGUAAUGCUUAGGAAUCUGCCUAUUAGUGGGGGACAACAUCUCGAAAGGGAUGCUAAUACCGCAUACGUCCUACGGGAGAAAGCAGGGGAUCUUCGGACCUUGCGCUAAUAGGUGAGCCUAAGUCGGAUUAGCUAGUUGGUGGGGUAAAGGCCUACCAAGGCGACGAUCUGUAGCGGGUCUGAGAGGAUGAUCCGCCACACUGGGACGGGGACACGGCCCAGACCCCUACGGGAGGCAGCAGUGGGGAAUAUUGGACAAUGGGGGGAACCCUGAUCCAGCCAUGCCGCGUGUGUGGAGAAGGCCUUAUGGUUGUAAAGCACUUUAAGCGAGGAGGAGGCUACUUUAGUUAAUACCUAGAGAUAGUGGACGUUACUCGCAGAAUAAGCACCGGCUAACUCUGUGCCAGCCGCCGCCGUAA
rnacentral:rRNA from 1 species